GACGAACGCUGGCGGCGUGCUUAACACAUGCAAGUCGAACGAAGUGGCGAACGGGUGAGUAACGCGUAAUCAACCUGCUCUUCAGAGGGGGACAACAGUUGGAAACGUCUGCUAAUACCGCAUACGGAAGAAGGGGAUGGGGUCUGAUUACCUAGUUGGAGGGGUAAAGGCCCACCAAGGCGAUGAUCAGUAGCCGGUCUGGGAGGAUGAACGGCCACAUUGGGAAUGGGACAAGGCCCCGACUCCUACGGGGGGCAGCAGUGGGGAAUCUUCCGCAAUGGACGAAAGGCUGACGGGGCAACGCCGCGUGAGUGAUGACGGCCUUCGGGUUGUAAAGCUCUGUUAAUCGGGACGCGGUACCGGAAUAGAAAGCCACGGCUAACUACGUGCCAGCCGCCGCGGUAAUUC
rnacentral:rRNA from 1 species